rnacentral:rRNA from 1 species
AACUAAAGCCAAAUUCCACUGACUAAACCUGUUCUCGUCCGAUCACAGAAGUAAAGCGGUGUCAGGCAUGGUCAGUACUUGGAUGGGAAACCACCUUGGAUUUCCAGGUGCUGUAGGUU